rnacentral:piRNA from 1 species
UUUAAAAUUCAACAAUUGGAU